GCCGAGCUGGGUGAGGGCUUGGCAGCGAACCUAGGAGGGGCACAGAGGGUCACAGUGAGCGGGAGGCCUGGGGCCAGGCAGCCGGGGGGCCUUGCGGAGUUCAUCCCGGCAUCUGUGGGAAGCGCGGAAGAUGCGGAGCAAGGAGCCGUCAGAGGGACAGGGCAGGGGAGAGCCUCAGCCCCAGGCCAGUGAGAGGAGCCAGUGCCCAGCUCUUCCCGCCCCUGGAGCCACUGGAGGGGCCUUCGAUUCCAUGAGGACCGAAGCCUGAGCUCUCCCUCGCCUUCCACCCUGAAACCCAGACUCCUGGAGCUGUGGGAGCAGAGAUUACACACAGGGGUCAUUCAAGACCUGCCUCCGCUGCUUACAAGUUCAGGACCUUGGGUGGACACGAGGACCAGCAAGGCCGCAGAGCCCUGGUCUGGGGCUGGUGCCCCGUGUGCGGAAGUUGGCUGGUAUCACUGUGGCGAUUACUGCCUGCUGACCGCUUUCCUGGUCUGGCCUUUGGGGCCGGGUUCGGACCCCAGCAGAGAGCUACCCCGUAGGUGCUCACUCAACCUGGGACAUGAACAGGAUGGGGGCAGCCCCAGGAUGCUGCACCUGUGCCAUCAGCAAACAGCACGGGUCCCGGGGAGCCUGGCAAGAUGCUUUUCCAAGCAGUUAGUUAGUUUCUCUGGGGACUUGAGCAUCUGUUCCUGGUGGGGCUGAGCAAUCAAGCAGGUCCUUCCUCCUCUUUCUCCAGGAGGCAGGGGCUGGGCCCGGCCUCCUCAUCCCCUUGUCCCCCCUCCCCCCCAGUUGUCCACCAUAAUUAGGCUCAUUGCAGCUCAGGAGGGGGCGUCCGUGCCCCUUCUCCACCCCCAGACUCAGGGUGGCCCAGGCUGGGGGUCUCCCCUCCCUCAAGGGCAUUGCUGCCCCUUCUGAAGGUGGGUGGGGCGCCCUGGCCAAGCCUGCGGCAGGGGUGGGCUCUUCUGUCCUCCUCCCAUCCCAGCCCCCAGCCCUGCCUGGGCCCUCGCUCCGUGGUCAGGGGCGCCUGGGGCUCGCCAGGGCCCAGGCAGGCUGCUCUCGUCAUUAGCGGCCGGCCUCGCUCCAAGUGAAUUAGCUGGUCCUCGGGGAGCGGGUGCUGAGGCCUGCAGGCUCCUGGCACUGGCCAGUGAUUCAUUCCCACAGCCUCACCCCCGCCUGAGGCCAGCGGCGUCCCUGCCCCCAGCCCACCGGCCUGAUUGGAGGCUGAGGAGCGGGAGGCUGGUGCCCAGAGCAGCCCUGGCUGCCCAUCCAUCUGCCCCCUCAUCCUAUUAACCCGGCUGCUCCCGUGCCCUCCCGGGUGGUGCUGGCCUCCAUCCGCCGGCCCCUCCCACACGCAGGCCUGGUGGCCCUGGCUCUGAGCCCGGCCCUGGUUCCGCCGACCUGGCCUGCCCCUCCAGGCUCUGUCUCUGCUCCCUUUGUCCCCUGGGCACCUCGAGUGACCCAG
rnacentral:lncRNA from 1 species